GAAGCCUUUUGCUAUCCACAAGCGGAAACACCAAGCAAAACAGCCUAGGACUCCCCUCAGAAGGGUCUCAGCAAAAGUCCAGCUCAGCUCCUGACAUUGUGCAGCAUGAAGUCCGGAGGAACUGAACAGUCGGAGAGUUGGCUGCAAUGAACUUGACGGUUUUUUUUCAAGGCCGACAAAUCUUAUCCAGGAAUCUGCCUUUGUCUUGGUCUGUCGGAAAUGCUCGGACUUUUAAAUUCCAUUUUGUUAUUGUUUGGAAUUUUUGUUGUCAGACAGGGUCUUUCUAUAUGCUCCAAGCUAAUCUGCAAUUCCCCGGUCUCAUUCCCUGAGUGUUUGUAUUUACAGAUGGCUUGCACUACAUCAGGAUGCAGAAGAAGAUGUAGAAGAGCCUACCUAGACUUCUCAAGAAAGUUUCCUGAAAGCAAUAUUUUCCUUUGUCGUACUAGUCUCAAGGAUGCUGGUCUCAUCUUCCUACUGUGUGGCCUGUAAUCACCUCUGUCUACAGCACCACUCUCUAUGAGUCCCUUCUGUGUGCUGGACUUUGUCACAGUCUGGGUCACAGUGGUGAUUCCCAGCAGUGAAGGGGUGGGGUGUCUGGAGCCUUUGUAUAAACACAGUAUAGUCUGCUGGGAGCAUUGAUGAUUAUUGUUGAUGACGAGGAGAAAAAAAA
rnacentral:lncRNA from 1 species